rnacentral:lncRNA from 1 species
GAAACUUUUCUGUAAAUCUGAAAACGUUUUUGUCUUAAAAAAAAAGUAAAUUAGGGGCUGGGUGCAGUGGCUCACACCUGUAAUCCCAGCACAUUUUGAUUGAUUUUUUAAAUUCUUGUUAGUAAAAAUGUAACACAGAAGGAAAAAAACAAACAAAGUUUACAUAAACAUAUAAAGCAAAAAACUGAGAGAUACACCUCUUUAUCCUCAUCCCACUCCCCAGAGGUAAUCAGUGUGAACAACU